rnacentral:rRNA from 1 species
GAUGAACGCUGACAGCAUGCUUAAUACAUCAGCCAUUCUUUGGUUGCGAACGGGUGAGUAACGCGUAGAGAACUUCCCUCACAGGACGGGACCACCUGUGGAAACUAAUGCUAGUACCUAAUUCUGUGCGCUGGCUUUGCGUCCCAUUAGCUAGUCGGAGAGGUAACGGCUCACAAAGGCGAUGAUGGGUAGCCGGCCUGAGAGGGUGAUCGGCCACAAGGGGACUGAGACACGGCCCUUACUCCUACGGGAGGCAGCAGUGGGGAUUAUUGGACAAUAGGCCAAAGACUGAUCCAGCAAUUCGGUGUGCACGAUGAAGUUUUAGGAAUGUAAAGUGCUUUCAGUUGGGGAGCGGUACCAACAGAAGAAGCGACGGCUAAAUACGUGCCAGCAGCCGCGGUAAUUC